UCAGAUGUGUUAUUAAUCCCUGAUGGUCAAUUCAGUCACACAGCCUUUAGAGUCUUAUUAAAAGAAGUCAAGACAAAGUAAAGAGUUACAUUUACAUGCCAGUAACAACAGGUCACCAAAGGAGAUAACAAUCUAUUUAAAGAAAUACAAUGUCAGAAAUGUCUAAGGUGAUCCUUAAAACCAGGAGGUGACUAUCCUUCCAUGUAGUUUUAAAUUGUGACUUUAGGGCACCAUCCAUUCAGGGUUGAUUAGACCAAUUUCAUAUUUUACUACAGAUCAGGUCUGUGAGAUUGAGUGGUUAUAGUUCACUCUCAGGUAUGCUGCAAGAGUUCAGCCAAGUAUGAAUUUCUAAUCUGGCUUUCUUUUUUCUUUACAGCAUCGAAAGGCAGCCAAAUAAUGUUACACCGAUUGUUGUAGCCAUCGUCUUAUCUCUUGUUGUUUUGGCUGUAAUUGGAGGAUUUAUUUAUCAUCGAAGGAGAAAACAAAAUAAAGCAGAGAACAUGGAAAAUACCGUCUAUGAAGAUCCUCAGGCUGUGAAUACAGACCUCCCUCUGAAGCAGAGACCAACAAAUGAUGCCCCAGCUGGUCCUCUACCCACCAUCUACUCCUUGUUGGGGCCUCCCAUCGGCUCUGAAGCACCCACUCAGCCCAGAGACAACGCUCAGCCAGAGAGCCUGUAUGCAACAGUGGAAAAACCUCCAAAGUCCUGAAACAGUUCACUAUGAUGUCUUCAACACACUUCUCUGUGUGGAAUGACCACUUUAGUUUAGUUUAGUUUAGUAUCAGUGAAGGACUUCUGACUGCGUCUUCUUUUUCUGUGCGUUGGUCGUGGACUAGCUACUUCUACAAUUGUACAAUUCACUUAGCAGACGCUUUUAUCCAAAGCGACAUACAUCAGAGAGUAAGUACAACACAAGCAAGGAUGUAGAA